rnacentral:rRNA from 1 species
UACGGAGGGUGCGAGCGUUGUCCGGAAUCAUUGGGCGUAAAAGGCGCGUAGGUGGCGGGACAAGCGUGCGGUGAAAGCCUGGGGCUCAACCCCGGGUCGGCCGUGCGAACUGUUUUGCUUGAGCACUGUAGAGGCAGGCGGAAUUCCGGGUGUAGCGGUGGAAUGCGUAGAGAUCCGGAAGAACACCGGUGGCGAAGGCGGCCUGCUGGGCAGUAGCUGACACUGAGGCGCGACAGCGUGGGGAGCAAACAGG